rnacentral:lncRNA from 1 species
GAUCCCACAGCGUGCAUUCUCCCUCGUGGCAAAGGACACUGGGCCGCCUGCGUUGCCACAGGAACUCACUCCUCCGUGGGCUGAGGGCAUUGGCAGCUGAUGGAGAAGAUCAAAGACGUUGGUCUGCUUGGCCUGCCCUGGCUGGCAUUUGCAGGGCACUUGCCUGCUGCCCCCUGGACCUCGUGGUACCCAUGAGAGCCAGGUCUCCUUGUCUUCAGCCUGGAUAAGGACACAGAGAGGGGGCGGUGGACAACCUGGCUGGGCCCUUCCUGGACUCCUGGGCUCACCAUGACCUCUGUGGACACAGCUUGGCCUUCUUCACUCGGGGACCAGCCAUCCCUCCCCACCCGGCACCCCGAAUGCUCUGACAGGCUCUGUUAACUCCUUCCUUGACCCUGGAAUGCACCUCCCGUGAGUCUGCCCAGGUGAACCCCUCCCACACUCACCCCAGGCCUAGCACCAGCCACAACUCUUCCCCUGCCCUCCCCUGCUGCCUCCCCUCCCCCUUUCUUCCUUCCUCUGGAGGCCACCCCUCCCCUGCUGCCUCCCUGGGUUUCCCCCUUCUCUUCCCUUGCUGUCCCCCAGCAUCUGCCUUCAAAUCCUUCCCCACCACACCCAGACCCCCCAGGCCAGCUGCUCCAUAGGAUAUGACAACUGUAUUACUUAUUUAUUUAUUUGUUGAGACAGGGUCUCACUCUUGUCACCCAGGCUGGAGUGCAGUGGCACGAUCUGGGCUCACUGCAGUCUUGACCUCCCAAGGCUCAGGUGAUCCUCCCACUUCAGCCUCUCGAGUAGCUGGGACCACAGGCGUGAGCCACCAAACUCAGUUAAUUUUUGUAUUUUUUUGUAGAGAUGGGAUUUUGCCAUGUUGUCCAGGCUGGUCUUGAACUCCUGGGCUCAAGCGCUGUGCCUGCCUCAGCCUCCCAGAGUGCUGGGAUUACAGGUGGGAGCCACAGCGCCUGCCUGGAUAUGGUAUCUUUACUCGGGGCCAGG